AACGAACGCUGGCGGCAGGCUUAACACAUGCAAGUCGAGCGCCUCGCAAGGGGAGCGGCAGACGGGUGAGUAACGCGUGGGGAUCUGCCUAGUGGUACGGAACAACUCAGGGAAACUUGAGCUAAUACCGUAUAAGUCCUUCGGGAGAAAGAUUUAUCGCCAUUAGAUGAACCCGCGUCUGAUUAGCUAGUUGGUGAGGUAACGGCUCACCAAGGCGACGAUCAGUAGCUGGUCUGAGAGGAUGAGCAGCCACACUGGGACUGAGAUACGGCCCAGACUCCUACGGGAGGCAGCAGUGGGGAAUAUUGGACAAUGGGCGCAAGCCUGAUCCAGCCAUGCCGCGUGAGUGAUGAAGGCCUUCGGGUUGUAAAGCUCUUUCGCACACGACGAUGAUGACGGUAGUGUGAGAAGAAGCCCCGGCUAACUUCGUGCCAGCCGCCGCGGUAAAAC
rnacentral:rRNA from 1 species